rnacentral:rRNA from 1 species
GAUGAACGCUGGCGGCGUGCCUAAUACAUGCAAGUCGAGCGAACGGACGAGAAGCUUGCUUUUCUGAUGUUAGCGGCGGACGGGUGAGUAACACGUGGAUAACCUACCUAUAAGACUGGGAUAACUUCGGGAAACCGGAGCUAAUACCGGAUAAUAUUUUGAACCACAUGGUUCAAAAGUGAAAGACGGUCUUGCUGUCACUUAUAGAUGGAUCCGCGCUGCAUUAGCUAGUUGGUAAGGUAACGGCUUACCAAGGCAACGAUGCGUAGCCGACCUGAGAGGGUGAUCGGCCACACUGGAACUGAGACACGGUCCAGACUCCUACGGGAGGCAGCAGUAGGGAAUCUUCCGCAAUGGGCGAAAGCCUGACGGAGCAACGCCGCGUGAGUGAUGAAGGUCUUCGGAUCGUAAAACUCUGUUAUUAGGGAAGAACAUAUGUGUAAGUAACUGUGCACAUCUUGACGGUACCUAAUCAGAAAGCCACGGCUAACUACGUG